GAUGAAGAACGUAGCCAAAUGCGAUAAGUAAUGUGAAUUGCAGAAUUCAGUGAAUCAUCGAAUCUUUGAACGCACCUUGCACCCUUUGGCAUUCUGAAGGGUAUGCUCGUUUGAGUGUCAUUGUACUCUCACACUCCCGAUCUUUGCAUUGGGAGCAGUGGACUUGGGUUUGCUGCUUCACCGUCGCUUACCUCAAAUAGGUUAGUGCAACUCUUGGUUGGACAUAGUACGGCGUGAUAAGUGUUCUUCGCCGGUGCCUCGCAAAGAGGGUGGCCGAUCGGGAUGUUGUGCUCCAAACCGUCUUCGGACAAUCUCUGACGACUUGACCUCAAAUCGAGUAAGACUACCCGCUGAACUUAAGCAUAUCAAUAAGCGGAGGA
rnacentral:misc_RNA from 1 species